rnacentral:rRNA from 1 species
GAUGAACGCUAGCUACAGGCUUAACACAUGCAAGUCGAGGGGCAGCAUGACGGAAGCUUGCUUCCGUUGAUGGCGACCGGCGCACGGGUGAGUAACGCGUAUCCAACCUGCCCUUGUCCAUCGGAUAACCCGUCGAAAGGCGGACUAACACGAUAUGCAGUUCUCAGCAGGCAUCUAACGAGAACGAAAUGGGGAGGAGAAGGAUGGGGAUGCGUCUGAUUAGCUUGUUGGCGGGGUAACGGCCCACCAAGGCGACGAUCAGUAGGGGUUCUGAGAGGAAGGUCCCCCACAUUGGAACUGAGACACGGUCCAAACUCCUACGGGAGGCAGCAGUGAGGAAUAUUGGUCAAUGGGCGAGAGCCUGAACCAGCCAAGUAGCGUGCAGGAUGACGGCCCUAUGGGUUGUAAACUGCUUUUAUACGGGGAUAAAGUGGGCCACGUGUGGCUUAUUGCAGGUACCGUAUGAAUAAGGACCGGCUAAUUCCGUGCCAGCAGCCGCCGUAA